AUACGGAGGAUCCGAGCGUUAUCCGGAUUUAUUGGGUUUAAAGGGUGCGCAGGCGGCCAUUUAAGUCAGCGGUUAAAUCGUGGGGCUCAACCCCAUUCUGCCGUUGAUACUGGGGGGCUUGAUUGAGGUCGAGGUUGGCGGAAUUCGUUGUGUAGCGGUGAAAUGCAUAGAUAUGACGAAGAACACCGAUUGCGUAGGCAGCUGACCAGACCGCAAAUGACGCUCAUGCACGAAAGUGCGGGGAUCGAACAGGAUUAGAUACCCUGGUAGUCCGCACAGUAAACGAUGAAUACUUGUUUUCGGCGAUAUAAUGUCGGAGGCAAAGCGAAAGCGAUAAGUAUUCCACCUGGGGAGUACGCCGGCAACGGUGAAACUCAAAUGAAUUGGCGGGG
rnacentral:rRNA from 1 species